CAAAGAAAGUGGAUGGAUAUUUAUGUAGAACUUGUCUGGCAAUAAUCGAAAAAACAACUGAAGAAGGCUUCCUCCUCGUUUGGGAUGGGUCAAAUCUGUACCAUUAAGCAGUAGAAACUUGCAAAGGCUUCAGAAUGAUCCAAUUAAAUUUUAAGCACUGCCUAACCAUGCAAGGGAUUUAGAAUCUAAAUGCAAAGAAAGCUUUUGUGUGCAAAAAUUAUAGCAACAGACAAUUAUGCCAAGGAAUUACCUUUGAGAGCUACAGUGAUGUG
rnacentral:misc_RNA from 1 species